rnacentral:rRNA from 1 species
GGCUUGAUGCCAUGCUUCCAAGAAAAGCCUCUAAGCUUCAGGUAAAAAGAGACCGUACUCCAAACCGACACAGGUGAUCAGGUAGAGAAUACCAAGGCGCUUGAGAGAACUCGGGUUAAGGAACUAGGCAAAAUGGCACCGUAACUUCGGGAGAAGGUGCACCGCUUUUGGUGAUGGGAUUUACUCCCUAAGCUGAGGGCGGUCGAAGAUACCAGGCCCCUGCAACUGUUUAUUAAAAACACAGCACUCUGCAAACACGUAAGUGGACGUAUAGGGUGUGACGCCUGCCCGGUGCCGGAAGGUUAAUUGAUGGGGUUAGCGCAAGCGAAGCUCUUGAUCGAAGCCCCGGUAAACGGCGGCCGUAACGAUAACGGUCCUAAGGUAGCGAAAUUCCUUGUCGGGUAAGUUCCGACCUGCACGAAUGGCGUAAUGAUGGGGGCGCUGUCUCCACCCGAGACUCAGUGAAAUUGAAAUCGCGGUUAAGAUGCCGUGUACCCGCGGCUAGACGGAAAGACCCCGUGAACCUUUACUAUAGCUUUGCACUGAACUUUGAACCUAUCUGUGUAGGAUAGGUGGGAGGCUUUGAAGUCGAGACGCUAGUUUCGAUGGAGCCGUCCUUGAAAUACCACCCUGGUAUGUUUGAGGUUCUAACGUCGGCCCCUUAUCGGGGUUACGGACAGUGUAUGGUGGGUAGUUUGACUGGGGCGGUCUCCUCCCAAAGAGUAACGGAGGAGCACGAAGGUGUGCUAAUCAUGGUCGGAAAUCAUGAGGUUAGUGUAAAGGCAAAAGCACGCUUGACUGCGAGACAGACAUGUCGAGCAGGUACGAAAGUAGGUCUUAGUGAUCCGGUGGUUCUGUAUGGAAGGGCCAUCGCUCAACGGAUAAAAGGUACUCCGGGGAUAACAGGCUGAUACCGCCCAAGAGUUACAUCGACGGCGGUGUUUGGCACCUCGAUGUCGGCUCAUCACAUCCUGGGGCUGAAGCCGGUCCCAAGGGUAUGGCUGUUCGCCAUUUAAAGUGGUACGCGAGCUGGGUUUAGAACGUCGUGAGACAGUUCGGUCCCUAUCUGCCGUGGGCGUUGGAGAUUUGAGAAGAGUUGUUCCUAGUACGAGAGGACCGGAAUGAACGAACCUCUGGUGUUCGGGUUGUCAUGCCAAUGGCAUUGCCCGGUAGCUACGUUCGGACGGGAUAACCGCUGAAAGCAUCUAAGCGGGAAGCCUCCUUCAAGAUGAGAUCUCCCUGGGACUUUAAGUCCCCUAAAGAGCCGUUGAAGACUACGACGUUGAUAGGUUGGGUGUGGAAGCGCAGCGAUGCGUUGAGCUAACCAAUACUAAUUGCUCGUGCGGCUUGACCG